CUGGCGGCGUGCUUAACACAUGCAAGUCGAGCGGUAAGGCCCUUUCGGGGGUACGACGAGCGGCGAACGGGUGAGUAACACGUGGGUGACCUGCCCUCAGCUCUGGGAUAAGCCCGGGAAACUGGGUCUAAUACCGGAUAUGACUCCAUGACGCAUGUUGUGGGGUGGAAAGCCUUGUGCGGCUGAGGAUGGGCCCGCGGCCUAUCAGCUUGUUGGUGGGGUGAUGGCCUACCAAGGCGACGACGGGUAGCCGGCCUGAGAGGGCGACCGGCCACACUGGGACUGAGAUACGGCCCAGACUCCUACGGGAGGCAGCAGU
rnacentral:rRNA from 1 species